rnacentral:rRNA from 1 species
AUUGAACGCCGGCGGCAGGCCUAACACAUGCAAGUCGAGCGGAUGAAUGGAGCUUGCUCCUGGAUUCAGCGGCGGACGGGUGAGUAAUGCCUAGGAAUCUGCCUGGUAGUGGGGGAUAACGUCCGGAAACGGGCGCUAAUACCGCAUACGUCCUGAGGGAGAAAGUGGGGGAUCUUCGGACCUCACGCUAUCAGAUGAGCCUAGGUCGGAUUAGCUAGUUGGUGGGGUAAAGGCCUACCAAGGCGACGAUCCGUAACUGGUCUGAGAGGAUGAUCAGUCACACUGGAACUGAGACACGGUCCAGACUCCUACGGGAGGCAGCAGUGGGGAAUAUUGGACAAUGGGCGAAAGCCUGAUCCAGCCAUGCCGCGUGUGUGAAGAAGGUCUUCGGAUUGUAAAGCACUUUAAGUUGGGAGGAAGGGCAGUAAGUUAAUACCUUGCUGUUUUGACGUUACCAACAGAAUAAGCACCGGCUAACUUCGUG